GGAAAACGUUAAACAGUAUAUAGUGGCGUACAGUACAGUAAAAUGAAAUCCGCACUCAGUAUAUUGCACUCACAGACCUGUAGGAAUAUUUGUGCCUCCCCUGUGUUCCAGGCCCAGGUCAAGUGAUCUCCUACCCCGAUUUCUUAAAACCCAGAUUGAAAAUGUGUAUAAACCAAAACCUUGGGCAUAUAUGAUAUAUAGAUACAGAACUUCUUCAUAUCAAAUACAAAAUUGGAAUUAGAAGUAUAAGAAUGCAGAAUCACUUGUGGCUCAAUAGUCAAUGUCAUAAGCCACUCUGUAAUACAUAUUUAACUAAAUAGUUAUCUGUCACUGUACUCUUGUAUACUCAUAAAGUUGUGUCUAUCAGUCUAAAAAGUACAUUUUAAUUACAUUUAACAACAUUUUUAUUCAAAAUGUAAAAAAAUACAUAACUAUAUAUAACUUUAGAGUUUUGGCUUAUUUUAAGAGAAAAUCCAACAUUUUCUGGAGAAGUUAUGACUGAGCAGUCCCCUAUUUUUAAUUUUUAUAAGGUGACCCCCUUGUGGGCUAACUACUGGGAGAAAACAGAAAACGUCCUUUCAGGACCAAGUGUGCUGUCAAAGUUCCUACAUAUAAAAUUGAACGCAGUUUCACAAUCUUACAAAUGGCCUCAUUCUUGAAUGCACCUUGAUUUGAAUCAUAGAGGAAUGAUAUAGUUACCUGAAACCCAUUCAGAGAGCCUACCAUUAUAAAGUGAUCCAUAUAAUUCACAUAUUGUGCAGAAACCAGAAACACCCAAUCAGUAUGAAAGAAAAUUGAUGCCCACUUAAAUAUAGUUUGUGAGACAGUAUGGAAUGCUUGUAGAGAAUUUUGUGGCUUUAAUUGGUGAAGCUUACAAUGACAAUGAUGUGCCUCCUGGAGACACACAAUGGCACAAUGAGCUGUGCAUUUAUAUCAGGGCCAAUCUACACUUGUGGGAUUAUUUUAUCCCUUUACAUUCAGGGAGAAAACAUUAAAGGACAUAGCCAGGGCCGGAUUAACAUAGGGGCUGAUGGAGCUGCAGCUCCAGGCCCAGGCCCAGGCCCA